rnacentral:rRNA from 1 species
UGGGGAAUAUUGCACAAUGGGGGAAACCCUGAUGCAGCAACGCCGCGUGCGGGAUGACGGCCUUCGGGUUGUAAACCGCUUUCAGCCAUGACGAAGCUUUUGUGACGGUAGUGGCAGAAGAAGCACCGGCUAACUACGUGCCAGCAGCCGCGGUGAUACGUAGGGUUCGAGCGUUGUCCGGAAUUAUUGGGCGUAAAGAGCUUGUAGGCGGUUUGUCGCGUCGCAAGUGUGAACUCAGUGCUUAACGCUGAGCCUGCUUUCGAUACGGGCUGACUAGAGGAAGGUAGGGGAGAAUGGAAUUCCCGGUGGAGCGGUGGAAUGCGCAGAUAUCGGGAGGAACACCAGUGGCGAAGGCGGUUCUCUGGACCUUUCCUGACGCUGAGAAGCGAAAGCGUGUGUAGCAAGCAGG